rnacentral:rRNA from 1 species
ACCUGGCUCACACCGGUUUAAACUCAGAUCAUGUAAAAUUUUAAAGGUCGAACAGACCCAACCUACUAGCUACUGCACCAGUAAUUAAUUUUAAUCCAACAUCGAGGUCGCAAUCUUCUCUUUCGAUAAGAACUCUAAGAAAAAUUACGCUGUUAUCCCUAAGGUAAUUUAAUCUUUUAAUCCAAACAUCAGGAUCAUAAACCUAUACAUUAAUAUGUAAAUAUAGAAAAGUUAAAUAAAUUUUCCCAUCACCCCAACAAAAUAUAUAAAACUCUAUAGGGUCUUCUCGUCUUCUAUAUAAAUCUAAGCUUUUUCACUUAAAAAUAAAAUUUUAAUUAAUUCAUCCAGAGACAGCUACUUUUUCAUCAAACCUUUCAUUCAAGCUUUCAAUUAAAAAACUAGUGAUUAUGCUACCUUUGCACAGUCAAAAUACCGCGGCCAUUCAAUAAUAUCAGUGGGCAGGUCAGACCUGAAAUAAUACUCAACAAGCC